ACCUCUAUGCGUCGUCGUGUUCGUCGUCGGACAACCCCGAGGACCACGAGCGCCGCAAGGAGCACA
rnacentral:precursor_RNA from 1 species